rnacentral:rRNA from 1 species
UACGUAGGGUGCAAGCGUUUGUCCGGAAUUAUUGGGCGUAAAGGGCUCGUAGGCGUCUGUCACGUCGGGAGUGAAAACUCAGGGCUUAACCCUGAGCCUGCUUCCGAUACGGGCAGACUAGAGGUAUGCAGGGGGAGAACGGAAUUCCUGGUGUAGCGGUGAAAAUGCGCAGAUAUCAGGAGGAACACCGGUGGCGAAGGCGGAUCUCUGGGCCGUAACUGACGCUGAGGAGCGAAAGCGUGGGGAGCGAACAGG